UACGGGGGGGGCAAGCGUUGUUCGGAAUUACUGGGCGUAAAGGGCUCGUAGGCGGCCAACUAAGUCAGACGUGAAAUCCCCAGGCUCAACCUGGGAACUGCGUCUGAUACUGGAUGGCUUGAAUUCGGGAGAGGGAUGCAGAAUUCCAGGUGUAGCGGUGAAAUGCGUAGAUAUCAGGAGGAACACCGGUGGCGAAGGCGGGUCUCUGGGCCGAUACUGACGCUGAGGAGCGAAAGCGUGGGGAGCAAACAGG
rnacentral:rRNA from 1 species